rnacentral:rRNA from 1 species
UGGUCAGGUAGAGAAUACCAAGGCGCUUGAGAGAACUCGGGUGAAGGAACUAGGCAAAAUGGUGCCGUAACUUCGGGAGAAGGCACGCUGAUAUGUAGGUGAAGUCCCUCGCGGAUGGAGCUGAAAUCAGUCGAAGAUACCAGCUGGCUGCAACUGUUUAUUAAAAACACAGCACUGUGCAAACACGAAAGUGGACGUAUACGGUGUGACGCCUGCCCGGUGCCGGAAGGUUAAUUGAUGGGGUCAGCGCAAGCGAAGCUCUUGAUCGAAGCCCCGGUAAACGGCGGCCGUAACUAUAACGGUCCUAAGGUAGCGAAAUUCCUUGUCGGGUAAGUUCCGACCUGCACGAAUGGCGUAAUGAUGGCCAGGCUGUCUCCACCCGAGACUCAGUGAAAUUGAACUCGCUGUGAAGAUGCAGUGUACCCGCGGCAAGACGGAAAGACCCCGUGAACCUUUACUAUAGCUUGACACUGAACAUUGAGCCUUGAUGUGUAGGAUAGGUGGGAGGCUUUGAAGUGUGGACGCCAGUCUGCAUGGAGCCGACCUUGAAAUACCACCCUUUAAUGUUUGAUGUUCUAACGUGGACCCGUGAUCCGGGUUGCGGACAGUGUCUGGUGGGUAGUUUGACUGGGGCGGUCUCCUCCUAAAGAGUAACGGAGGAGCACGAAGGUUGGCUAAUCCUGGUCGGACAUCAGGAGGUUAGUGCAAUGGCAUAAGCCAGCUUGACUGCGAGCGUGACGGCGCGAGCAGGUGCGAAAGCAGGUCAUAGUGAUCCGGUGGUUCUGAAUGGAAGGGCCAUCGCUCAACGGAUAAAAGGUACUCCGGGGAUAACAGGCUGAUACCGCCCAAGAGUUCAUAUCGACGGCGGUGUUUGGCACCUCGAUGUCGGCUCAUCACAUCCUGGGGCUGAAGUAGGUCCCAAGGGUAUGGCUGUUCGCCAUUUAAAGUGGUACGCGAGCUGGGUUUAGAACGUCGUGAGACAGUUCGGUCCCUAUCUGCCGUGGGCGCUGGAGAACUGAGGGGGGCUGCUCCUAGUACGAGAGGACCGGAGUGGACGCAUCACUGGUGUUCGGGUUGUCAUGCCAAUGGCACUGCCCGGUAGCUAAAUGCGGAAGAGAUAAGUGCUGAAAGCAUCUAAGCACGAAACUUGCCCCGAGAUGAGUUCUCCCUGACCCUUUAAGGGUCCUGAAGGAACGUUGAAGACGACGACGUUGAUAGGCCGGGUGUGUAAGCGCAGCGAUGCGUUGAGCUAACCGGUACUAAUGAACCGUGAGGCUUAACCUU